CUAGCAAAAACUAUUAACAGAGCAGGAGAUAGAUUCUAAAUUAAACAGAAUUUGUAAUAAAGAAAGUAAACAUUAGGUGUCUCUUUCCAGGAAGUGUUUAGGAAAACUGUGCAAGUCAUAUACAGGGAGGUGUGGCUAGGGCUGCAUAAACAAAGUUAUUGAACUUCUAAAUGGCAGAGAAUUGAGCAGUGAGACAGGAGCAUGAUCUAUA